rnacentral:sRNA from 1 species
GACACGAACGAUGGGUAACACAGAGAA